CCUACGGGCGGCAGCAGUGGGGAAUAUUGCACAAUGGGCGCAACCCUGAAGCAGCCAAGCCGCGUGAGUGAUGACGUAUUUAGGUAUGUAAAGCCCUAUCAGCAGGGAAGAAAAUGACGGUACCUGAUUAAGACGCCCAGGCGAAAUACGUGCCAGCAGCCGCGGUAAUACGGAGGGGGCCAGCGUGAUCCGGAUUUACUGGGUGUAAUGGGAGCGUAGGCGGCAGAACAAGUCUGGAGUGAAAUGCCGGGGAUUAACCCCGGAACUGCCUUGGAAACUGUGCAGCUAGAGUGCAGGAGAGGUAAGUGGAAUGCGUAGUGUAGCGGUGAAAUGCAUAGAUAGUAGGAGGAACACCAGUGGCGAAGGCGGCUUACUGGACUUUAACUGACGUUGAUGCUCGAAAGCGUGGGUAGCAAACAGGAUUAGAUACCCGAGUAGUC
rnacentral:rRNA from 1 species